rnacentral:rRNA from 1 species
GAUGAACGCUGGCGGCGUGCCUAAUACAUGCAAGUCGAGCGAACAGACGAGGAGCUUGCUCCUCUGACGUUAGCGGCGGACGGGUGAGUAACACGUGGAUAACCUACCUAUAAGACUGGGAUAACUUCGGGAAACCGGAGCUAAUACCGGAUAAUAUAUUGAACCGCAUGGUUCAAUAGUGAAAGACGGUUUUGCUGUCACUUAUAGAUGGAUCCGCGCCGCAUUAGCUAGUUGGUAAGGUAACGGCUUACCAAGGCAACGAUGCGUAGCCGACCUGAGAGGGUGAUCGGCCACACUGGAACUGAGACACGGUCCAGACUCCUACGGGAGGCAGCAGUAGGGAAUCCUCCGCAAUGGGCGAAAGCCUGACGGAGCAACGCCGCGUGAGUGAUGAAGGUCUUCGGAUCGUAAAACUCUGUUAUUAGGGAAGAACAAAUGUGUAAGUAACUACGCACGUCUUGACGGUACCUAAUCAGAAAGCCACGGCUAACUACGUG